CCGUGCAGCCGGGGAGAUGGCGGUGCCCUGUAUCUACAAUCCGCCUUAGUAGAGGUGAUAUCCUGCCUCGGGCUGUUCGAUCGUCAGCUGCCCUGCAUAAGUGGCAUUGAUGCCCGGGUCUUGCGCAACAGGAACCUGUGAACCGUGUCAGGUUGGGAACAAAGCAGCACUAAGCGGGAUCUCCUGUGUGCCGCGAGGGUGCCUGGUCUGAGUUAACUGUGCAGGUAACGUGGCGGUCGACAGUUCAAAGCAGGAUGCACGG
rnacentral:SRP_RNA from 3 species